UGGGGAAUAUUGCGCAAUGGGGGGAACCCUGACGCAGCCAUGCCGCGUGAAUGAAGAAGGCCUUAGGGUUGUAAAGUUCUUUCGGUAUUGAGGAAGGUUGAUGCGUUAAUAGCACAUCAAAUUGACGUUAAAUACAGAAGAAGCACCGGCUAACUCCGUGCCAGCAGCCGCGGUAAUACGGAGGGUGCGAGCGUUAAUCAGAAUAACUGGGCGUAAAGGGCACGCAGGCGGUUAUUUAAGUGAGGUGUGAAAGCCCUGGGCUUAACCUAGGAAUUGCAUUUCAGACUGGGUAACUAGAGUACUUUAGGGAGGGGUAGAAUUCCACGUGUAGCGGUGAAAUGCGUAGAGAUGUGGAGGAAUACCGAAGGCGAAGGCAGCCCCUUGGGAAUGUACUGACGCUCAUGUGCGAAAGCGUGGGGAGCAAACAGGAUUAGAUACCCUGGUAGUCCACGCUGUAAACGCUGUCGAUUUGGGGGUUGGGGUUUAACUCUGGCGCCCGUAGCUAACGUGAUAAAUCGACCGCCUGGGGAGUACGGCCGCAAGGUUA
rnacentral:rRNA from 1 species